rfam:Ornithorhynchus anatinus chromosome 4, whole genome shotgun sequence.
CUCCUCUCAGGAUCACACCUGGAGAGUUUCCAGUACUCUACCACUCUCGACUACGGGAGGGAGAGUCAAGCAGAGGCCUACCCAUUCCAUUCCUAGCUUGGCCAGUGGCUAGCGAGCGGAAGGCAAUCGGCUACAAGU